CGAUGUAGUUGAAGGAAUCUAACAUAAAAACAAUGAAUUCUAUUACCUGGCGGUUGUUUUUUUAUUUUAUGCCCAACUGCUAUUAAAAUCAGGAUCACGAUACUCAAUAUUAUGGUGACAUACAUCACUGUGUUCUUUUGUGCACGUACAACUUGGAAUAGAUGUUUCGAUGAUGAAUAAAAACCUGCGAAGUAGAAUUGGUUAUACGAAGAACGAAGUCGGCGAGUUAGAUGGUUGCUCUUAAAUAUAACAUGAAAAGAAAAAAUUAACGUUAAAUAAAUUAUUUGAAAAUUAUGGACUACUCUCGAAAUAUGAAAUCUUACGCCGGAAGUCCGGAAUUGGUAUUCGAUUAAUCAAGAAAAAAACUACUUCUAUAGAUGUGAAAAAGAUGAAGUGUAAUAGAAUUAUUUUAUAAAUAAUUAAAACGCAUCACUUACGUAAUAAAAUUGAAUUAAAGAGAUCAUGUUCAAUUUGCGCAACACGGCUAACUUCAGUAUGCUCUCCAGUACCAUACACUUCUCAUUCUUUCAGUCAUAUACAGGGUGGAGAAAAAUAUGAUUUUCCACGAAGUCUAUAAUCUUAUCGACAUUAAGGGUAGCCAAGAUGAAACCGAUCAACUGAGAUGCUGCUAAGCGAAC